AUUGAACGCUGGCGGCAGGCCUAACACAUGCAAGUCGAACGGUAACAGGAAACUGCUUGCUGUCUCGCUGACGAGAGGCGGACGUGUGAGUAAUGUUAGGGAAACUGCCCGAUGGAGGGGGCUAGCUACUGGAAACGGUAGCUCAGACCGCAUAACGUCGCAGGACCAAAGAGGGGGAGCUUCGGGGCUCUUGCCAUCGGUUGUGGCCAGAUGGGAUUAGCUAGUAGGUGGGGUAACGGCUGACCGAGGCGACGAUCCCUAGCUGGUGUGAGAAGAUGAACAGGCACAGUGGGACUGAGAAACGGUACAGACUCCUACGGGCGGCAGAGAUGGGGAAUAUUGCACAAUGUGCGGAAGACUGAUGCAUGGGUGCCGCGUGGAUGCAGAAGCGCUUCGGGUUGUAAAGUACUUUCCGCGUGGAAGAAGGGAGUCGAGAGGAUCGCUUCUCUUAUUGACGUUACCCGGAGAAGAAGCACCGGCUAACUCCGUG
rnacentral:rRNA from 1 species